rnacentral:rRNA from 1 species
GAUGAACGCUGGCGGCGUGCCUAAUACAUGCAAGUCGAGCGAACAGACGAUGAGCUUGCUCCUCUGACGUUAGCGGCGGACGUGUGAGUAACACGUGUAUAACCUACCUAUAAGACUGGUAUAACUUCGGGAAACCGGAGCUAAUACCGGAUAAUAUAUUGAACCGCAUUGUUCAAUAGUGAAAGACGGUGUUGCUGUCAGGUAUAGAUGGAUCCGCGCUGCAUUAGCUAGUUGGUAAGGUAACGGCUUACCAAGGCGAGGAUGCGUAACCGAGCUGAGAGGGUGAUCGCCCACAUUGGAACUGAGACACGGUCCAGAGUCCUGCGGGAGGCAGCAGUAGGGAAUCUUCCGCAAUGGGCGAAAGCCUGACGGAGCAACGGCGCGUGAGUGAUGACGGUCUUCGGUUCGUAAAACUCUGUUAUUAGGGAAGAACCGCUGUGUAAGUAACUAUGCACGUCUUGACGGUACCUAAUCAGAAAGCCACGGCUAACUACGUG